CCCAUUCCUCUUCUUUGUCUUCUUCACCAAGUCAGUACGCGCGCCAGUCACUUGCUCCGGUGAGGAUCAACGACGAUCAAUGCCAAUUGAUGCACCGUUGUCGUCUGGUGAACAUCGCCAUUUGUACACCUCUGGUUGUCGAUGAGUUGGGCAAAUUUUUUCACUCUCUCUCUCCUUCCCCUAUUCUCUCUCUCCUUAUUCCUCACCUAUGAACGGAGUCGCCGUCUGUCGUUGGUGCCGCACGCUGCCGUCGCCAUCGUCGUUGGGAGUCUGAACUGAAGCGUUUGCCACUGGUAAAAUGUUGUGGGUGUUUGUUUCUCUAUCCUCGUUUUCUUUCUCUUAAGGUAUUUCCUCGCGCAAUCAUGUGCCCACGUCGAAGCUGUCGCUCAAAUGCUCCGCCUCGUUGCGGAUCUUUACAAUUUCUGUCCGCGUUGUCGCCGUGGGUCGCUGGAGCCGUCGACCAGCACCAUCUAGAGGUGUUUUCGUGACGUUUGAUUCAGAGUUUGGCGGGAAUUUUAGAUGUUGACCAGCGAGUUCGAAGGUGUUUGGCGAUGUUCGAUUUACUUUUAAUAUGUGGAAAUUAGGAGCAUUGGAACAAGGAACCUUUAUGAUCGAAGCGUGAGUUCCGUGGGGAAAAGGUGCUGAAUCCGUUGGCUUUGGUUUCGAUUCAAGGUAAGGGGUUCCCUAAUGAUGAAUUUAAAGUGUUUUGUUAUGCAUUGCUCAUAAUUAAUUUCAGAUUUAGUGUCGAUAGAUUGAUUACGGCAAUAUUUGUGUGUAUACUGAUUUUUGUUUGGAAGUGUGACGUGCACAUUGAUGAUCAGGGUGGCGAGUCUGUGUAACGCGAAUUUGCAUGACAUGAGCUUAGAGUUGUGGGAUGUAUAUACCAAUCUAUGUGAUAAUAAGUCUGUGUGACUUUAUGUCUAUCUGACGAGCUCCGGUGAGUUAUGGACAUCAAUUUGUAUGAUAAGUCUGUGUGACUCGUAUCAGAACUCAUGGCUAAUUGAUGUUGAAGUGUUGAGCAUAUUGACGACUUUUUGACGCGUGUCUCGACACCUAGACUUACGUUUUGUUUCUUGUGUGAACAUCAUAUACAUUUGGUCGACUGUGUGAUGCGUUUGUAUAUGGUGGGUCAUACAUAUCUGUCAACUGUGUGACAUGUUUGUGUAUGUUGGGUCCUAUUAAGGGUCUCUUACUAAGUAUUUUAAUAAUACUCACCCUUUCCAUUUAUUUCUUUUUCUCAUGUAAAGGCUAGGGCAUGCAAGGGAGUAGUCAGGUGGUUGUUGUAUGAGUCGGUUGAUUGAGUCAUGCUUCUGCAUUGUGAUUUUUGU